rnacentral:misc_RNA from 1 species
GAUGAAGAACGUAGCGAAAUGCGAUAAGUAAUGUGAAUUGCAGAAUUCAGUGAAUCAUCGAAUCUUUGAACGCACAUUGCGCCCCUUGGUAUUCCGAGGGGCAUGCCUGUUCGAGCGUCAUUAUAACCCCUCAAGCUCAGCUUGGUGUUGGGGCCUGCUGCACUGGCAGCCCUUAAAAUCAGUGGCGGCGCCAUCUGGCUCUAAGCGUAGUAAUUCUUCUCGCUAUGGAGUCCUGGUGGAUGCUUGCCAUCAACCCCCAAUUUUUCUAUGGUUGACCUCGGAUCAGGUAGGGAUUCCCGCUGAACUUAAGCAUAUCAAUAAGCGGAGGA